GACGAACGCUGGCGGCGUGCUUAACACAUGCAAGUCGAACGGAAAGGCCUCUUUCGGGGGGUACUCGAGUGGCGAACGGGUGAGUAACACGUGAGUAACCUGCCCUUGACUUUGGGAUAACUUCAGGAAACUGGGGCUAAUACCGGAUAGGAGCUCCUGCUGCAUGGUGGGGGUUGGAAAGUUUCGGCGGUUGGGGAUGGACUCGCGGCUUAUCAGCUUGUUGGUGGGGUAGUGGCUUACCAAGGCUUUGACGGGUAGCCGGCCUGAGAGGGUGACCGGCCACAUUGGGACUGAGAUACGGCCCAGACUCCUACGGGAGGCAGCAGUGGGGAAUAUUGCACAAGGGGUGGAAGCCUGAUGCAGCAACGCCGUGUGCGGGAUGACGGCCUUCGGGUUGUAAAACGCUUUCGCUCAUGACGAAGCUUUGUGUGACGGUAGUGGGUAAAGAAGCACCGGCUAACUACGUG
rnacentral:rRNA from 1 species